GAUGAACGCUAGCUACAGGCUUAACACAUGCAAGUCGAGGGGCAGCGGGAUUGAAGCUUGCUUCAAUUGCCGGCGACCGGCGCACGGGUGAGUAACGCGUAUCCAACCUUCCGUACACUCAGGGAUAGCCUUUCGAAAGAAAGAUUAAUACCUGAUGGUAUGAUGAGAUCGCAUGGUAUCAUCAUUAAAGAUUUAUCGGUGUACGAUGGGGAUGCGUUCCAUUAGGUAGUAGGCGGGGUAACGGCCCACCUAGCCUACGAUGGAUAGGGGUUCUGAGAGGAAGGUCCCCCACAUUGGAACUGAGACACGGUCCAAACUCCUACGGGAGGCAGCAGUGAGGAAUAUUGGUCAAUGGACGAGAGUCUGAACCAGCCAAGUAGCGUGAAGGAUGAAGGUCUUACGGAUUGUAAACUUCUUUUAUAAGGGAAUAAACCCUCCCACGUGUGGGAGCUUGUAUGUACCUUAUGAAUAGCAUCGGCUAACUCCGUGCCAG
rnacentral:rRNA from 1 species